UACGGAGGGGGCUAGCGUUGUUCGGAAUUACUGGGCGUAAAGCGCGCGUAGGCGGACCUGCAAGUCGGGGGUGAAAGCCCGGGGCUCAACCUCGGAACUGCCUUCGAUACUGCGGGUCUCGAGUCCGGGAGAGGUGAGUGGAAUUCCUAGUGUAGAGGUGAAAUUCGUAGAUAUUAGGAAGAACACCAGUGGCGAAGGCGGCUCACUGGCUCGGUACUGACGCUGAGGCGCGAAAGCGUGGGGAGCAAACAGG
rnacentral:rRNA from 1 species